UACAGAGGUCUCGAGCGUUGUUCGGAUUCAUUGGGCGUAAAGGGUGCGUAGGUGGCGCUGUAAGUCGGGUGUGAAAUCCUGAGGCUUAACCUCGGAACUGCAUUCGAUACUGCGGCGCUUGAGGACUGGAGAGGAGACUGGAAUUCAUGGUGUAGCAGUGAAAUGCGUAGAGAUCAUGAGGAAGACCAGUGGCGAAGGCGGGUCUCUGGACAGUUCCUGACACUGAGGAGCGAAAGUGUGGGGAGCGAACAGG
rnacentral:rRNA from 1 species